rnacentral:misc_RNA from 1 species
GAAAUGCGAUAAGUAAUGUGAAUUGCAGAAUUCAGUGAAUCAUCGAAUCUUUGAACGCACAUUGCGCCCCUUGGUAUUCCUUGGAGCAUGCCUGUUUGAGUAUCAUGAAAUCUUCAAAGUAAAUCUUUUGUUAACUCAAUUGGUUUCUACUUUGGUAUUGGAGGUCUUUGCAGCUUCACACCUGCUCCUCUUUGUUCAUUAGCUGGAUCUCAGUGUUAUGCUUGGUUCCACUCGGCGUGAUAAGUUAUCUAUCGCUGAGGACACUGUAAAAGGUGGCCAAGGUAAAUGCAGAUGAACCGCUUCUAAUAGUCCAUUGACUUGGACAAUACUUUUAUGAUCUGAUCUCAAAUCAGGUAGGACUACCCGCUGAACUUAAGC